UACAGAGGGUGCGAGCGUUAAUCGGAAUUACUGGGCGUAAAGGGUGCGUAGGCGGAAAUUUAAGUCAGGCGUGAAAUACUCGAGCUUAACUUGGGUACUGCGUUUGAUACUGAAUAUCUAGAGUACAGUAGAGGGAAGUGGAAUUUCCAGUGUAGCGGUGAAAUGCGUAGAUAUUGGAAGGAACACCAGUGGCGAAGGCGACUUUCUGGACUGAUACUGACGCUGAGGCACGAAAGCGUGGGGAGCAAACAGG
rnacentral:rRNA from 1 species